GACGAACGCUGGCGGCGUGCCUAAUACAUGCAAGUAGAACGCUGAAGGAGGAGCUUGCUCUUCUGGAUGAGUUGCGAACGGGUGAGUAACGCGUAGGUAACCUGCCUGGUAGCGGGGGAUAACUAUUGGAAACGAUAGCUAAUACCGCAUAAGAGUAGAUGUUGCAUGACAUUUGCUUAAAAGGUGCACUUGCAUCACUACCAGAUGGACCUGCGUUGUAUUAGCUAGUUGGUGGGGUAACGGCUCACCAAGGCGACGAUACAUAUCCGACCUGAGAGGGUGAUCGGCCACACUGGGACUGAGACACGGCCCAGACGCCUACGGGAGGCAGCAGUAGGGAAUCGUCGGCAAUGGACGGAAGUCUGACCGAGAAACGCCGCGUGAGUGAAGAAGGGUUUCGGAUCGGAAAGCUCGGUUGUAAGAGAAGAACGAGUGUGAGAGUGGAAAGUUCACACUGUGACGGUAUCUGACCAGAAAGGGACGGUUAACUACGUG
rnacentral:rRNA from 1 species